AUGUCGGGAAGCUUGGCUGAAGAGGAAAUAAAAACUGAGCAAGAGGUGGUGGAGGGAAUGGAUAUCUCUACUCACUCCAAAGAUCCUGUCUCUACAGAGAAAACAGCCCCAAAACGGAAGUUCCCCAGCCUUCCACAUUCCUCCAAUGGCUACUCACUCCAAGGCUCAUCUGCAAGCCCCAUUAAAAAGAAAAAGACACCCGGCUUACUGAACAGUAGCAAUAAGGAACAGUCAGAGCUAAGACAUGGUCCGUUUUACUGUAUGAAGCAGCCACUCCCCAUAGACCCUGUUGAUAUUAUACCGCAGGCCAGAUGGAAUGACUUCUAUAGCUGGAUUUGUCACCAGGAAGGACAAGUCCUUUGCUGUGACCUCUCUCUCAGGGUUUAUCACACUAAGUGCCUGAGACUGACAUCAGAACCAGAGGGGGUCUGGGUUUGUCCUGAAUAUGAAAAGAUUGCGAUAGCAGAAAGCAUCGAGAUGCAGAGCAAAGCCAUGACCAUGCUGACCACUGGACAGCUGUCCUACCUGCUCAAGUUUGCCACUCAGAAAAUGAAGGAGCCAGAGAUGGAUGCAUUUCAGAAGUCCGUUCCAUUGAAGCAGCAUCCUGACUAUGCAGAAUAUAUUUUUCACCCCAUGGCUCUUUGUAUAUCAGAAACGAAUGCAAAAACGAAGAUGUUCAGCUAUUCAGAAGCCUUCCUGGCUGAUGCCAAGUGGACCCAUAACUGCAUUAUUAAUAAUGGGGGAAACCACAAAUUGAUGCAAGUAGCAAAAGUUGUCUUCAAAAUCUGUGAGCAAGAGAUGAAUGAGAUUGAAGUAUGCCCAGAAUGUUGUCUUGAAGCUUGCCAAAAAAUGAGACAACUGGUUCUGUGAGCCCUGUAGCAAUCCGCACCUUUUGGUCUUGGCGAAACUGAAAGCGUUUUCAUUCGGGCCAGUGAAAGCUCUGAGAGACAAAGAUGGGCAGGUUGAUGCCCGUUUCUUUGCACAACAUGACAGAGCCCGGGUUCCAGUCAAUAAUUGCUACCCCAUGUCUAAAGAAAUCCCUUUUUCUGUGAAAAAGACAAAGUAUCUUCAACAGCGCCCUUCGAAAGAUGGAAGUUUACUUGGAGAACAUACAGAGGAAGUUUGGGGUUUUUAAUUACUCCCUGUUCAGGUCGCCCUACAUGCCCAAUAACCAGGACCAAACGCUGCUUGAUCCCAGCAACCCCAGCGCCGGCACUGUCAAGACAGACAAGCAGGAGAAGGGGAAGCUCAAUUUUGACAUGACAGCGUCCCCUAAGAUCAUUCUGAGCAGGUCUCUUCUGAGCAGGGGUGGGGGUGGGGGGCAUAGGUCUCAAGAUCUCCCUGUCCGACUUGCCUCACUACCUCUACCCGACCAUUAUGAACUCUUCUGUGCACACAGGCUCUGAUGUGGAGCAGUGUCCCGAGAAGAAGGUCCCAUCCAACCACUUCUGUGCAAGAGUCUAUGGACUUCCUUGAUAAGAGCACAGCUUCUCCAGCCUCCACCAAGAUUGUGCAAGCAGGGAAGCCUUUCUCUCCACAAGCACUGAACCUGGAUCGAAGCAAAGCUGAGAUGGACCUGAAGGAGCUGAGCGAGUCUGUCCUACAGCAGUCAGCCCCUGUCCCCCUCAUCUCUCCCAAGCAGCAGGUUCGAAGCCAGUUCCAGCUCAGCCUGGUAAAUACCAUAGAGUUGCAAAGCACAGCUACCCAUAAAUGAGAUCUUAGAGGAUGUUUACACAGCCUUGGAGCACAGUGAUUCCGAGGGUUCCAAAAAGCCAAAGAGCAGUGACAGCGAGUACUCCAGCGAUGAGGAACAGAAGCCCAAGAAUGAGCCAGAGGCCCCCGAGGACAAAGAAGGGAGUUUGGUGGACAAAGAGGCCCCUGCCAUCAAAAGGAAGCCCAAGCCCACAAACCAAGUGGAGGUCAAAGAGGAUGUAAAGAGUAACUUGCCUGUCAGUGAGAAUGUAGACCUUACACCCACCAAGGACGGGGCCAGUCCCGAGCCUGAGAAGGACUUUGGAGAGAAAGCAAAGCCAUUACUUCAUCCCACAAAGGACAAACUAAUGGGAAAGGAUGAAACAGUUUCUCCCACAGUGCACUUGGGCUUGAUUUCAGACUCAGAGAACAAACUUGUCAUAGACUUAGGAGAAGAUCCUUCUGGGCGGGAGAAUAGAAAAACAAAAACAAAACAAAACAAAAAGCCAAAACAAACAAACAGAAAACAAGAAAGAGCCCAAGGUGCUGUCACCUAAGCAAGAUGCUAUAGGUAAACUGCCACCUUACACUUAAGCAGGCAAACAGCCUCCUCCAGAGACACCAGUACUAACUGCUGGGCUACACAAGCACCUGCAACUGGGGUCACCGCCACCAUAGAAAACCCAGUGAAGAAGCAGAGGCUGCUCUUACUGAACGAGGCUGUCCCAGCUGUGCAGCGUGUGGAACGUACCAACUGUUCAGCAGAAGGAGGUCACUCAGAGCCCAUCCACGUCUACCAUCACGCUGGUGACCAGCACACAGCCCUGGUCAGCAGUUCAGGCUUUGCAAGUACCCUGGCAUCCGGGAUCAAUGCCGACCUGCCCAUUGCCACUGCCUCAGCCGAUGUGGCUGCACAUUGCCAAGUACACUAGAAAAAUAAUGGACACCAUAAAGGGGAAAAUGACAGAAAUCUACAAUUACCCCCCCCCCAGAACACCACUGGGAGCACAAAAGCUGAGAUUCGAAGGCUAAGGAUCUGGAUUGAGAAGGGGCAGUGGCAGCACCAGCAGGAGCUCCCCAAGAUGAAGCACAACUUGGAGUUGACCAUGGCUGAGAUGUGGCAGAGCCUGGAACAGGAGCGGGAUCCGCUCAUCGCUAAGGUGAAGAAGCAGCUGGAGCUGGAGAACCAAGAAGCAGUGGUGUAGCAACUGCAAGAAGGAGGCCGUUUCCACCAGCUACUUGCGACUACCCCUGUCAGCAGGCCCACUGGCCUUAGCACAUGAAGUCCUGUACCCAGUCUACUACAGUUGGUUACUCCCCUUCAGCAGGAAGCAGAUGCCAAAGCAAACACAGAAACAGGAAAUAAGUCAUCGCAGGGCAGCUCCUCCAACACACAGUCAGCAACUUCAGAACCGGCCAGUGCCCCCAAAGAGAAAGGAGUCAGCAGAGAACAAGGACUGUAACUCCACCUUUGACCUUUCUGGCUCCUGAGAGAUGCCCUCCUCCAUGAUCUUAGGCUCUAACCAAGACUUUGUUAGCAAGAGGUGUGACAAACAGCCUGUCUAGUCCCUAACCACUACAGACCACCAGCCUCACCCCAACUAUCCAGACCAGAAGUCCUAUUCCCCGGAGGAGCAAGUCAGGUUUGUGGAGCAUCAGCGAGGAGGAGCGAGGGUCAUCUCGCUCUGAACACAGUGCAGAGACCAGCACGAAGAACAUCAUGGCCAAAGAGUCCCUGGAGUCUCUGCCACCUUUCGAAUUCCCAACACUCAGACUCUGCCCGUGGGCUUGGCUGUAG
rnacentral:lncRNA from 1 species